rnacentral:rRNA from 1 species
AGUGAACGCUGGCGGUAGGCCUAACACAUGCAAGUCGAACGGCAGCACAGUAAGAGCUUGCUCUUACGGGUGGCGAGUGGCGGACGGGUGAGGAAUACAUCGGAAUCUACUUUUUCGUGGGGGAUAACGUAGGGAAACUUACGCUAAUACCGCAUACGACCUACGGGUGAAAGCAGGGGAUCUUCGGACCUUGCGCGAUUGAAUGAGCCGAUGUCGGAUUAGCUAGUUGGCGGGGUAAAGGCCCACCAAGGCGACGAUCCGUAGCUGGUCUGAGAGGAUGAUCAGCAACACUGGAACUGAGACACGGUCCAGACUCCUACGGGAGGCAGCAGUGGGGAAUAUUGGACAAUGGGCGCAAGCCUGAUCCAGCCAUACCGCGUGGGUGAAGAAGGCCUUCGGGUUGUAAAGCCCUUUUGUUGGGAAAGAAAAGCAGCAGGUUAAUAACCCGCUGUUCUGACGGUACCCAAAGAAUAAGCACCGGCUAACUUCGUG